rnacentral:misc_RNA from 1 species
GAAAUGCGAUACGUAAUGUGAAUUGCAGAAUUCAGUGAAUCAUCGAAUCUUUGAACGCACCUUGUGCCCCUUGGUAUUCCGAGGGGCACACCCGUUUGAGUGUCGUGAACAUCCUCAACCUUCUUGGUUUCUCAACCGGGGAAGGCUUGGACUUUGGAGGUUUUCUCUUGCUGGCCUUCCUUUGAAGCCGGCUCCUCCUAAAUGGAUUAGUGGGGUCCGCUUUGCCGAUCCUUGACGUGAUAAGCGUGCUUCUACGUCUUGGGUUUCGCACUGCCUCGGCCUGGAACCCGCUUCCAACGGUCUCUCUUUUGAAAGACGAUCUUAGAACCUUGACCUCAAAUCGGGUGAGACUACCCGCUGAACUUAA